rnacentral:rRNA from 1 species
UACGUAGGCAGCAAGCGUUGUUCGGAGUUACUGGGCGUAAAGAGUGCGUAGGUGGUGCCCUAAGUCUGUUGUGAAAUCUCCCGGCUUAACUGGGAGGGUGCGGUGGAAACUGGGGUGCUUGAGUGUGGGAGAGGUAAGCGGAAUUCCUGGUGUAGCGGUGAAUGCGUAGAGAUCGGAAAGAACACCAACGGCGAAAGCACUCUGCUGGGCCGACACUGACACUGAGAGACGAAAGCUAGGGGAGCGAAUGGG